AAGAUUUUAAACUAACAAUAAGGUCGUAGGAGGUAGACGGUAGGAGGAUCUAAAAAUAUAUGUAUACGUGAAUAGCUGAUGAAGCUGGUAAACUCUACAAUGAGGUAUUGAAUAUGUAAACCACUUAUUGUUAGACAGCAGAAUAGUUACGCGAUCGGGUCAAGGUGAUUCUUGAUCUUUCAAUGGUAACUGAACUCUACGGAGCUGAGCUUGCAGAACAAAAUAUUGCGUAACGUCAUUUAUUGGGAGCCAAAAAUAUAGUAGAAACCCACAAGUAUAGCGCAACUACAAUAAUUAUAAUCAAAAAUGACAUGCAGUUGAAAAGAGCUUAUACAUAAUGCAUCAACGGCAUAAAGUUA
rnacentral:misc_RNA from 1 species